rnacentral:rRNA from 1 species
GACGAACGCUGGCGGCGUGCUUAACACAUGCAAGUCGAACGGAAAGGCCCUGCUUUUGUGGGGUGCUCGAGUGGCGAACGGGUGAGUAACACGUGAGUAACCUGCCCUUGACUUUGGGAUAACUUCAGGAAACUGGGGCUAAUACCGGAUAGGAGCUCCUGCUGCAUGGUGGGGGGUGGAAAGUUUCGGGGGUUGGGGAUGGACUCGCGGCUUAUCAGCUUGUUGGUGGGGUAGUGGCUUACCAAGGCUUUGACGGGUAGCCGGCGUGAGAGGGUGACCGGACACAUUGGGACUGAGAUACGGCCCAGACUCAUACGGGAGGCAGCAGUGGGGAAUAUUGCACAAUGGGCGGAAGCCUGAUGCAGCAACGCCGCGUGCGGGAAGACGGCCUUCGGGUUGUAAACCGCUUGCGCCUGUGACGAAGCGUGAGUGACGGUAAUGGGUAAAGAAGCACCGGCUAACUACGUG